UACUGUGAUUACUUUUAGAAAUCAGAAAACCUCUGCAACUCCAAAUGGCAUUCAGCUCUUGCAUUUGGCGCACCAUCAGGCUGAGCGGACCAGCUAUGCCAAGAACGUUAGCCAAGCCACCAGGUAGUGGCUUUAUCACGCCAGUUCUGGGUCCUGGCUGCCAUCUUCCCACAGAAAGCAGAAGAGCGCCCACAGAACUCUGGGAGAUUGCAAAGGUCAUAUGUGCAUAUUUACCAGUGAAUGGCCCUAGGUGGGCACCAUGGGGGUGUUCAGAGCAAGCCAAACGCUGCAAUGAUUCUUUACAGACACUUAAGACUGACUUUUUUAUGAAUUACUUAAUCGAAACCAAAGAAACUUUUUCUGCACCUACUUCUGCAACAAACAGAACUGUCCCAUUAAAUGAAUAAACAAAUCCGUAAAUCAAUGGAAAUCACCAUCAACAAGAAGGAAGCACGCCAGAAAAAAGAAAACCCACAAAAAACAAAAAUCAGCGCGACACACUGUGUUCAAACAGACCUCUUGGGACAUUUUUUGGAAGCAGAUUUGAAAGAAAGGGUUGAGACAAGAAUUGAAGUAAGGAAGAGCCUGAAUGGCUGCUGCUUCAUUUGACAACUCACAUGGUAAUCUUAAAGUUGAAGAUUGUCUUUAAUUUGUGCCUAUGCAGUUUUUCAAAAGAACACGGAACAGAGCAACAGAAACCUCAACAGCUACAAUACCAAAGAUGAGGAUUUCUCACACCUUUUGUUUCAGUUCAUUAUCUUCUUUUGCCUGGCUAAAAUACUAAUAGCGCCAUUGAUCUGUACAAAGAGAGCACUGCAGUUUGUUUGCUGUCAGAACAACAGAGCAAAUUUUGUGGACAAGCAAUGACUACUCAACCUGAACCUGUGCAUUCAGAAAACAUAAGCUGAGACCCUGCUUCACCAGCCUGGAUUUCGGGGCUUCUAUAUGGAAAGUGGAAAAAUAAAUUUUAAAAAAAUCAUAAACAAAAAAAGAGAGAAACCCUUAACACUAGCUGCUUCCAAGAAUGAACUCUGUGUGUGUGUAAAGCAACAAAACAGAAAAGGAAAAAAAAAGCAGAAAAAAAGAAAAAAAAAGGAAAAACUUUCUAUUUCUAGUGAGAACCAAAGAAGGCUACCUCACUGACUUUUUCCAUUUGUAAUUUUAAUCGUGUUGAUGACACCAAAGAUACCAAAGAUUUCUUUCUCUGUGCGGUCUGCAUUUUGCUUGUGCUCUUUUAUAAUUUAACUAUUCUCUCUGACAUAUGGUAUGUACAGCCACAGCUCAGAUACCCCAAAGAAAUAAUUAUCUAUGUGAUGGUGGCUGCUAAUUUGGAAAGGGAUAUUUUCUGUGUUUCUCUCAUUUAUUUGCUCUCUCCACAUGAUCAGGACGCAAGUUUAGAUGCUGCUUUAAUUGGAUUCCCUAAAUUAUGAUCCCUAAAUUGAUGAAGACUGGUAGGAGAGGGCCUUCAGUUCUAGCCAUGACCUCUGUCCCUCCUGUGGAGCUAUCACAGGAAAGAGACAAGUACUGGGUCAUAGAAAUUCUAACCAUUGGAUUGUAGAGUAGGAAAAGGACUAUAGGAUUCAUUAAGUCCAGCCCCCUAUGUCCUGGAGAAAUGAAAUCAUUAUCCAAGUCAAAUUACACCAGAGUCACAGCCACUAAUCUCCUAGCUCCACCCCAGUGCUCUGCAUAUUGCUGUCAAGUAGGCAAGUAGGAAAGUAGCAAUCCUGUAGCUGCUUAUUAUCUAACAUUCUCAUCCUAUAAGGAUAGUUACAGGUACUUUCAGUAUCUUAUCCAGUUACAUCUCCACAGAGGUACAUAUGAUCCAGUGCUUAGUAAGGUCGACAGUCUUGAAAUAUUAGGGCUCAUUUGGAGGUUUCUAACCUGGGAAGUGCAUAUUGAUCCAAACAGUGCGAUCACUUUUGAACCUCCCCAUUAAAAGUGUUGUAUAAACAAGCUUUUAAUUCAGUAGGAAGAGAGAGUUCAUUCUUGGCCCAUUAAAUUUAAUUAUUAUGGACAUUUUAAGGUCAGUAUUUACCAAGAAAGAGAACAUGACUAUAGUUUGCACAUACAGCAUUUCAGUGAUCAGCUUUUUCUUUUAUUCUUUUUUACUUAUAGAUGUUUAAAUUUUAUUCCUAAGCCAAAGGUAUAUUUUCAAGAGCCUUACAUUUUUGAUGCUAAACAGCUACUCAUUGUAAAUGAAGAAUGAGCCCAAGAUUUCAAAUGCAUGGAUAUGCCAUUUUUAAAAAUGGUUACUUAGGGCUCGGGAUUUAGCUCAGUGGUUCCAGCGCCUGCCUUGCAAGCGCAAGGUCCCAAGUUCGAUUCCCA
rnacentral:lncRNA from 1 species